GGGCCCAUAGUUCAGUGGUAGAACGUGUCCAUGGCAUGGACAAGGUCCGAGUUCGAUUCUCGGUGGGUCCACCA
rnacentral:tRNA from 1 species